rnacentral:rRNA from 1 species
GAUGAACGCUGGCGGCGUGCCUAAUACAUGCAAGUCGAGCGAACGGACGAGAGGCUUGCUUCUCUGAUGUUAGCGGCGGACGGGUGAGUAACACGUGGAUAACCUACCUAUAAGACUGGGAUAACUUCGGGAAACCGUAGCUAAUACCGGAUAAUAUUUUGAACCGCAUGGUUCAAAAGUGAAAGACGGUCUUGCUGUCACUUAUAGAUGGAUCCGCGCUGCAUUAGCUAGUUGGUAAGGUAACGGCUUACCAAGGCAACGAUGCAUAGCCGACCUGAGAGGGUGAUCGGCCACACUGGAACUGAGACACGGUCCAGACUCCUACGGGAGGCAGCAGUAGGGAAUCUUCCGCAAUGGGCGAAAGCCUGACGGAGCAACGCCGCGUGAGUGAUGAAGGUCUUCGGAUCGUAAAACUCUGUUAUUAGGGAAGAACAUAUGUGUAAGUAACUGUGCACAUCUUGACGGUUCCUAAUCAGAAAGACACGGCUAACUACGUG